rnacentral:rRNA from 1 species
UACGUAGGGGGCAAGCGUUGUCCGGAAUCAUUGGGCGUAAAGCGCGUGUAGGCGGUCCGGUAAGUCGGUUGUGAAAGUCCAGGCUCAACCCUGGGAUGCCGAUCGAUACUGCCGGACUAGAGUCCGGAAGAGGCGAGUGGAAUUCCCGGUGUAGCGGUGGAAAUGCGCAGAUAUCGGGAGGAACACCAAUGGCGAAGGCAGCUCGCUGGGACGUUACUGACGCUGAGACGCGAAAGCGUGGGGAGCAAACAGG